rnacentral:rRNA from 1 species
UACGUAGGGCGCAAGCGUUGUCCGGAAUCAUUGGGCGUAAAGAGCUCGUAGGCGGCCUGUUGCGUCCGCUGUGAAAUCCCGGGGCUUAACCCCGGGCGUGCAGUGGAUACGGGCUGGCUGGAGGCAGGCAGGGGAGAACGGAAUUCCCGGUGUAGCGGUGAAAUGCGCAGAUAUCGGGAGGAACGCCGGUGGCGAAGGCGGUUCUCUGGGCCUGUACUGACGCUGAGGAGCGAAAGCGUGGGGAGCGAACAGG